rnacentral:lncRNA from 10 species
UCUGGAAACAAGGCUGCCCUUCAGGUCAUGUAAGAUGUCUCCUCAUAAGCCACGAUCAGGGGCCCACAUGCACUGUCCUGAGCCCGGGCUGCUCAGUAGGUCCGUACAAACAAUGUGAACACUAAACACAGAUGCCAGGACCUCAUCCCAGCCCGUUCAGGUCAGCUAAGAUUGACAACUACCGACACAAACACUCCUCUUUUCUCAUUUCCUGGCACAAACAAGUGUUUUAAGCAACGAAAUGGCAUCCACUCCGUGGCUGGGGCUGCUGAGUCCACCUUCGCUUGGGCUCACCAGCACGUGGCACCGCGGCGUGCCGGCCACUCGCUUACCCAGGCUACAUUCCAGCCAGCGGGGCGCAGGCACAGGUUGGGCGUGACAGACGGUGUUUAAUUCAAACAUGAACUAGCAAACUACAACCAAAGUGGCACCUCCAGAGUUUUCCAGGUAACAAUUCCACUUGCUAUGGAAAGAAAAUAUUUAAAAUCUAGGCCCAGCAGAGGGUCUUCAGGGAGUGGAGCUGCACUGCGUGAUGCUCUCAUGGGGUUCCUCAUCCCCCCACACACCAGGCAUGCACCCCGAUGUGAGUGAUGGGUCCCUGAGGGACUCUACUCGGGGGGGGGUGUCUGUGGGGCAGGAGGCUGUCCAAAGGGGGAAUUCAGGACACACCACACUCCAUUUUGCUAUAAACCAAAAACUGCUCUAAAAAGUAAAGUCUACUGGCCGGGCGCCGUGGCUCACGCCUGUAAUCCCAGCACUUUGGGUGGCCGAGGUGGGCGGAUCGCGAGGUCAGGAGUUCGAG